GACGAACGCUGGCUGCGUGCUUAACACAUGCAAGUCGAACGCUGAAGCCCCAGCUUGCUGGGGUGGAUGAGUGGCGAACGGGUGAGUAACACGUGAGUAACCUGCCCCUGACUUCGGGAUAAGCCCGGGAAACUGGGUCUAAUACCGGAUACGACUAUCGGACGCAUGUCUGGUGGUGGAAAGUUUUUUCGGUUGGGGAUGGGCUCGCGGCCUAUCAGUUUGUUGGUGAGGUAAUGGCUCACCAAGACGACGACGGGUAGCCGGCCUGAGAGGGCGACCGGCCACACUGGGACUGAGACACGGCCCAGACUCCUACGGGAGGCAGCAAUGGGGAAUAUUGCACAAUGGGGGAAACCCUGAUGCAGCGACGCAGCGUGCGGGAUGACGGCCUUCGGGUUGUAAACCGCUUUCAGCAGGGAAGAAGCCUUCGGGUGACGGUACCUGCAGAAGAAGUACCGGCUAACUACGUG
rnacentral:rRNA from 1 species